CUCCUUUCCUAAAAUAAUAACUAUUUGAUGUGAGAAAACCUAAAAAUGUAGAACACUUCUGUUCACAUAGAAUUUACUUUCAACAACUGUGUUCUUUCUACUCAAAUGAAGAUAGGUAGAGUGCUCUCUAAAGUACAGUAUUGGAAAAGGAAGAUGGGUACACACCUGGAUAAUGCUGAGCUGCUUGUGAAGCUAUAGACACUGCACGUUUAUGACUUGGUUUUCUGAGCGAUCUCCAGAGCUUGAACGGAUUACAGUGAUAUUUUAACAAGGCUGCUGGCAUCCAUCUCUAGCUUUCACUUACUAAGAAAUCUAAAAGAUGGGAGAAUGUAAUUAUUUUCACGUAAGCUAAGUGCUAGCGGCUGAUUGUCACGAGAACUUUGAUGCUUAAAAACUUCAUCUCUUGUAAGGCAAACAGUCCGUCUGAUGACACCACGAAUCUGGGAAUGAAGAACUUCUUAGAGCUGAUUGGAAAUGGCAUUACGGAGCUGAAACUUAACUGGAGGAAAUAUAUCUCCUGAAGAAGAAAAUAUAAUGCACUAUAAGGAUCUGACUUCUGGUGAAAAAUUCAAGCCUAGAGAAAACUUGUCCGCUUUGUUAGGAAGAAUGGGUUGGACAAUUUUCUUCAGUUCCAAAGGAUAUCUGAAUGCCAUGCUGAGCUUAAUCUCUGCAGCAUGCUCUGUGCUUCUCAUCUCUUCCUGAUGCACUGCAUGGUUAUCCUGAAGGGGACGAUAAAGAAACUGGCCACCAAGAUGGUAAUCACUAGUGGAAAUGAAGAAGAUAAAGGGAGUCAAGAAAAGGAAAGCAAAGAAGAAACCAUCUUGGCAAUGCUUGGAAUUAUUGGGACAAUUCUGAACCUCAUUGUGAUCAUUUUUGUGUAUAUUUACACAACGUUGUAAACUAGAAGGCAUGCAAAUAGACCAGAUAAAAUGGCCAUUAAGAAUGACAACAAACAUUGCUGACUAUUGACAAGUUCUUUAAUCAGAAUUGACUCUGUAUUAUAUUAACACAUCAUAAAAGCACUGCCUGCAGGCAGCGAAGACUGAAGCACAAUUAAUUUAACAAGACUUUUUCACACAGUAAUAAGCUUAACUCUUCUAUCCUGCCCUCUCCCUUUCGGUUUGGUUUUCAGUUUGGGGGAGAAUGACUGCAGUUAUGUAAGCUGUAGCUUUGAAGAAAUCCACCAGGGAUAUGUUGUUUUAACACAAUUUAAAAAAAAAAAAAAAAAGAAAAAAUAGAAAGAAAAAAAAGAAAAUAAAGAAACUGUACACUAUAUAUAAUUAGAAAUG
rnacentral:lncRNA from 1 species